GGUUCUUGAAGUUUGUCUAUAUACCAGCAUCGCAUUCAUUGUAUUUGCACUUUCUAUCGCGUUUUCCAAGUAUUUCGAGAAUCUGUCGGCUGAUCUGAAACCCUACUACAGGCUGAAAAUCAGUUUAUGUGAGGAUCUGGACCCGUAUAGUCUAUCGAAGGCUGAUUUUGCGACUGAAAAAUGUUGGCCGAGAGUGGAAUACCCCGACAUUGUGAACUACUUGGUGCUUACAACCAACAGCCUUACUAGCCAACAGAUGAAGGCCAACAAGUCCUUGGAGGCUGACAAUUACUUUGUAAGCGGGUGGAUUCAGAGUGUCCUCUGCAAAACGUUGUCUGAAGAAAAGGUUUUAAUUGUUGCCUGAGUUAAUCAUUCUCAGGGGAUGUCUGCCACGCCAUUGACCGCCUGGGUCCUCGUAAAACAUGACGGGGAAAUCAUAACAGCGCACUGCAACUGCAUGGCUGGAUGAAGUGAAAGCUGUUCUCAUGUUGGAGCUUGGCUGUUUUACCUUGAAGCAGGUGCUAACCUGAAUGGACCCAGUGCAUGUACAGCGGAGAAAAAUAAAUGGAUUAUGCCACCUAGCUUGAAGAAGUAGUUUCCUGUCAUGAUCCUGCCGCUCCAGCCCGGGCUGUGCGGGUGUCCGCGGUUGCUCUGAUUGGGAGGUGCACACCUGCGCCUUAUGCAGCCUGAUUAUGCUGUGUAUUUAUAUGACCCCGAUGACGACUGGCCGGCGCCAGUUCGUUGAGCUUCAUGUCCCGUUCCAGCACUCUCGUAUCCCUGAUCGACAACCUGUGUGUACCGACCUUCGCCCGUUCUCCGACCAACCUUGUUCCAUAUCUGCCGGUGAAGGAAAUUGACUUUUCCUCGGCCAAACGUCAAAAGUCGAUUCAUCAAGGAGGAGCAGUUUUGAGCCCUCUGUCUGAAGAGAGGAGAAGUCGCAGUACUCACACUGCUGACAUGGAACCAACGCUGCAGGAAGUUAACGACUUCUAUGAGGCUAUCUCCAAUUGUGGAACCAAACGAGCAAUCUUGUCAUUGAUUCCUGGCUAAAAAAAAAUCGGUACCCAGGUUCACUCAACUGUGCCACAAAAGCAACGAGAUGGGGAAUACAGCACGAGAAAGUUGCGAGAUUCAAAUAUGAGACGUUCAUGGCUGAUGACCAUACCACUUUUGCUGUAAUUGAAACAGGGCUCCAUCUCAACUCACGGUGGCCAUUUCUUGGUGCAUCUCCAGAUGGUCUGGUCCAGUGUUCUUGCUGUGGCAUGGGUGUUUGUGAAAUUAAGAUUCAGGCUCAACUCCAUGUAUCAGGCAGAUUGUGACUUCAUUUUUUGUACAUCGAAGGACUUCUACGUUGAACGAAUACAACUUGAUUUCGAGAUGUGGGAAGAACCUGUUGAGAAGGCAGAGCUUUUUUUUUUUUUUCGUCGAGCAAUCCUUCCUGAGUUAAUGGGAUGAGUGUUUAAGAUCUGCAGUCACCAGCAACACACGUACUGCCCAGCAUGCCUGAUGCCGGACAACAAAGGCCAUGUAUAUGUGGAAGAAAGCUGAGAAGCAAAAUUGUUCUGUGCUUCUCCAGACUGUCAAAUUAAGACAUUCCACUUAUGUGUGAAUUUAGGAUGACACCAAGGCACCAGUGGUUUUGUAAUCAAUGUGAGAACGAGGAAAAUUAAGUAACAAAGACGGUGAUAGUUUUAUUGACUAUGAAAAUAACAAACUACAUAUAUAACUGAAACACUAAAAUAUUUAUUUCAGUGAUAUGAUUUGUACACAAACUUUUCUGACACAUGUAUGUAAAUAAAAUAAA